CGCUGUAGAGAUACAGUUUUCCCUUCGGGGACGCCGGUGACAGGUGGUGCAUGGUUGUCGUCAGCUCGUGUCGUGAGAUGUUGGGUUAAGUCCCGCAACGAGCGCAACCCUUAUUGUUAGUUGCUACGCAAGAGCACUCUAGCGAGACUGCCGUUGACAAAACGGAGGAAGGUGGGGACGACGUCAAAUCAUCAUGCCCCUUAUGUCCUGGGCCACACACGUACUACAAUGGUGGUCAACAGAGGGAAGCAAUACCGCGAGGUGGAGCAAAUCCCUAAAAGCCAUCCCAGUUCGGAUCGCAGGCUGCAACCCGCCUGCGUGAAGUUGGAAUCGCUAGUAAUCGCGGAUCAGCAUGCCGCGGUGAAUACGUUCCCGGGCCUUGUACACACCGCCCGUCACACCAUGAGAGUCGGGAACACCCGAAGUCCGUAGCUUGACCGCAAGGAGGGCGCGGCCGAAGGUGGGUUCGAUAAUUGGGGUGAAGUCGUAACAAGGUAGCCGUAUCGGAAGGUGCGGCUGGAUC
rnacentral:rRNA from 1 species